GGGAGGCACCAUGUGUACUUGAUUCAAUUAGGCGGUCUGUGAGGCCCCCCCCUGGGAGCGGGGGGCUGCAAGAAAAAAAAGAGGCUGCAGGCCUGUCUAACAAAGACGUUCCAACCAGCCCUUUGCCGCUUCUGAAUCCACCUCAUUAGUCGGCCGAGUAAGUGCUGAUCAUCUCAAAAGUGUCUUCAGCACACAACAGUGUCUUCCUGAUGUGCGGCAGGAACGUUUUGGAACUGGGGAGUAUUUUUCACCGCAGAGAACCGAAGAGGACAAUGCCUCCAUUUUGUUUGAGCCGCUGCAGCACAAACUGAAAUUGACACAGCGAUUGAAAAUGAAAAAUUCAACCCGCGGAGGAAACGUCCGAGCUGCGUGUGAACAGAUCAGUAGGAAUAAUAUCUGCUGGCAAACAUCUGUCACAUCCACUAUCGGACUCGCAGCACAGAAGGUCCUGCAUGUUUCAAAGUUUCCUCCGUAUCACAGAGAAUAAGGAGAGCAUUUAGCUUUUUCUGAAUGUCAAACUGAUAACUAGGAUCCAGCGACAUUAGUAUUCGUUCUCGUUCUGCUGGUCCUUUCAAACGCAGCAGAUGUGUGUUUCUAUAUUUGCAAGUUGUCAGACCUGCUCAGAAGCAAAUGGCGGAAAGAGAUUAAAAAAGGGAAAAACA